rnacentral:rRNA from 1 species
CUGAGUUUGGAUCCUGGCUCAGAACGAACGCUGGCGGCAGGCCUAACACAUGCAAGUCGAACGGAUCCUUUAAGGAUUAGUGGCAGACGGGUGAGUAACGCGUGGGAAGCUACCUUGUGGUAGGGGACAACAGUUGGAAACGACUGCUAAUACCCUAUGAGCCCUAUGGGGGAAAGAUUUAUCGCCAUGAGAUGUGCCCGCGUUAGAUUACGCUAGUUGGUAAGGUAAUGGCUUACCAAGGCGACGAUCUAUAGCUGGUCUGAGAGGAUGAUCACGCCACACUGGGACUGAGACACGGCCCAGACUCCUACGGGAGGCAGCAGUGGGGAAUAUUGGACAAUGGGGGCAACCCUGAUCCAGCCAUGCCGCUGUGUGUGAUGACGUGCCUUAGGGUUGUAAAGCACUUUCAGCAGUGAAGAUAAUGACAUUAACUGCAGAAGAAGCCCCGGCUAA